UUGGUUAGUGGCCAUUUAAAUAUUGUAAAAAUAUCAAUUGAUUCAAAAAAGAUGACCAGCGUGUUGAUCUGAGUCGAUUUAGACAUGUUUACUUGCGAACUAAUUCCAACAGUUUUUAAAAUAUCGAUCUAAUGCUCAUUUUUAAAUACCAUGGAAUAUAGCUGCCAUCUAAACUGACCGAUAGAAAGCAAUUCCUUGCAUAGAAAACUAUUUUAGUGGACAAGAUAUCUUCUCGAAAUUUAGCAAGUAUCAUAACCCAAGGCAGCAUUACGUGCCAAAUUGUUUUGAUCGGAUUACUGUAGCAGUAAGCAGUAGCUGCCAUUCAAACUGGCCUAUAAAGUCAAGUUAAAUAUAUUUUUUACACGUUUAUGCUAUAGUUAAUGCACCUGUGAAUGGUAUUAAAGCUUCGGUACAGCGUCACGAGUCAUUUAAGGAAUUAGCGUGGAAAUUAAUUUUUAGAACAGCCAAUUGGACCUUAGGAAACUUAUGCCGGUAUUCCGCGAGCAGUCUCAAGUCUCUAAUAGAGACGAAUCUGUGGUGAAAUCUAUUUAGUGACUGUUUGGUAUUCUGGCGAGUUUGUCUCAUCCCUAAUUGAGCAAUAUCAGUCUCUAACUUGUUAUAUGCUUUGCACCAAGUCAUAGAAAAACAAGAGCAAAACACUGGCUGAUGAAGUUGGACUAUUUUACCUUAUGAUGAAAAAACGAGAAGCGGAAGAGAGAUACAUUCGCAGGCGCAAUCUGACUGUUUUGCGAAACAAAAAAUAUCCGUUUUCAUACGAAGAGAACACAUUCAGGAAGUUCUUCCGAUUUCCCAAAUCUUUAUGCUGGGAUCUCAGUAAUAAACUCAAGCCGUAUGACAAACAGCGAACAUCGAUUCCAUUUGAACUUCGGUUUAUUUCAGUUUUGCAUUUUUAUGCAAUGACUCAUAUCAGUGUUGCGUGGGAAAUGCAUAUUUCGCGGUGAUGAGCCAACCAACCAUUUCCCGUUGUAUCGAAUAUAUUUGUAAAUUGGAAUUAACUAUUUAUGUUGAAGAUUACAAUAGAAUUGAGACUGGUAGGUUUGUGACGAUGAACUAAUUUUCCGGCACGUGAAUGCAAAAUUUCCCGGCUCAUGUCAUGACUCCGGUAUGUGGACUACUUCGCCAGCAAGGAUAAAGCUAAUAAGAGAACACUCUGAUGGAGCUUUUAAAUGGCUUUUGGGUGAUUCGGGAUAUCCAUUGGAGCCAUGGCUUCUUACACCGGUGGCAAACCCUGAAACACAUAAUGAACAAAAUCUUAAUACUAGACACAUAAGAGCAAGAAACACGAUUGAAAGAGCAUUUGAAGUUUUAAAAUCACGCUUUCGAUGCAUUUCAAGAGAACGUACAUUGCGGUACAAACAUUCCAAAGCUGCAUAAUUUGUUUAUACUUGCAUUUUUCUAAAUGAAACCGAAAUAUUGCCAGAUAAAUCACCUGAAAAUGUGGGAGCAAUCUCUGAAAUCCAUUCGGGGGAGUAUUACACUUGAGGCAGAGCAGCACGUCAAAGGUGCAUUAACACAUUAGAUAAUUAAAAUUAUACCAAUAUAUAGUUCAAUUCAAACAUCAUUUAUUUCAUUUAUAAAAUAAAUAAACAUAACAAGAAAAUAAUACUUACAUAUAUACAUAAAAAGGAACAUUUUUAAUUUUCACUUUUUGUCACAAUCUCCUGUUUUUUUUCACAAUAGUCUGAGCAAGCGACACCAUCGCUGCCGCUAAAUUGUUAAUAGACUCCGUGUGUUUAUUAAUGGAAUCUAAAGUUUUAAUCCGGAAAUCUCUUUCCUCCUCGGCUUUCUCUUUCAUUAAGUCCAUAUAAUUUCGGGACAUUUCGUCCGUCGUCAUUUUUUUGCUACUUGACGAUGACGGAGUGCACUCAUUGGACGCAUCCGAAGUCGUAUUCAGGGGCGAUGGCCAAUGGCUGGUACAUCAGCCAAUCCAUUUACGGCUAUGGACCCCAAUGUAUCCAACGCUUUCUGCUCCGUUUCGGAGAGCUCAAUUGUUGAGCUGGGACCGCCACCUGUCACCAGCUUGUGCGCCUUGGCUUUCCUUGCACGAGGUCUUACUUGGUUUUUCCAAUGGCUCAUAUUCUGUAAAACAAAGAACAUAAAUACAUAUAUACAAUGCCAAUA